UGGUUUUGGAUAUCUCUGUCC
rnacentral:piRNA from 1 species